UACAGAGGGUGCGAGCGUUAAUCGGAUUUACUGGGCGUAAAGCGUACGUAGGCGGCUUUUUAAGUCGGAUGUGAAAUCCCUGAGCUUAACUUAGGAAUUGCAUUCGAUACUGGGAAGCUAGAGUAUGGGAGAGGAUGGUAGAAUUCCAGGUGUAGCGGUGAAAUGCGUAGAGAUCUGGAGGAAUACCGAUGGCGAAGGCGACUUACUGGGUCUCAACUGACGCUGAUGCACGAAAGCGUGGGGAGCAAACAGG
rnacentral:rRNA from 1 species